rfam:Microbacterium sp. AR7-10 contig_115, whole genome shotgun sequence.
UACGGCGGCCAUAGCGUGAGGGAAACGCCCGGUCACAUUCCGAACCCGGAAGCUAAGCCUCACAGCGCCGAUGGUACUGCAGGGGGGACCCUGUGGGAGAGUAGGACACCGCCGGAC